CGUCGCUCACCAAUUUGAGAGCGCGCAUAUUGGUUAUUAGGAAAAAUAAUACUGAAUAUGAAUUAAUGACAUGUAAAUUCACUUGAUAUAAUCGUAGCUCGUAAGAACGGCAACAACGCAAUCUAAAAAGUUACACAUUUAGUGGAGGAGGAGGAAGAUUGAUCAGCUGUGCGAGGUGUGUAUGACCAAAUGUAUCGUCACAAAGUGGUAUCUGUACGUCAGGUGACACAAUGGAAUUUGUUUUAUGCCGUUAUUUAUUUUGAGUUACUUGUAGGUAAUAAAUACUUGAGGAAAGAUACGCAUUGUGGAGAUUGUCGCCUUCCAGACAGCAUUUUUUGUUGGUCGGAGUAAUCAAUCCGGAAUUUGGAAAGUAAAACUGCCAUCCUAUUUUUUUGGUUUCCUGAACACCGGACGCCGUACAGAAAAUGCGCAAUUUAGUCUCUGACCAGUUUGAUCGACUGUUGAUGAUAACCGACAUCUAUGGUGUCCUUUUUCUGUUUUUUCUGGAAAAAGAUGACUCUAUUCAUCAAACUUUUUGGCAAUUCGUUUCCAUCGGGAUCUCUACGUAGCAAAUGCCUGCUUUUUCAUUUUCUUGCUCUUUUUAUCUUGCGGAAUUCCGAACUCCACCUUUUGGCUGCCUUCAACCUGAUCUGUGGAUUCUGAUUCUGCUAUCGUUUCCAAGCUACUCGUGGUCAUUACUGUCACGUUUUGAAACGAGAAGGAUGUUCAUAAACACUUGAAGAUUUACUCUUCAUCAAAUCGUCAAUGUCAGCCAAGAUUUCCGUGCAAUCUAAUCCUUCCUGUAGUCGAAGGAUUGCGACGGCUACAUUCAUUUCGAAUCCAGUCAACCAGUCGUUUUUGUAUCCCAUCAUCAGGAUGUUUGGCUUCACUUUGCCCAAUCCCGUGAGGCCAAGCAUUGAAGCAACGCCCGUGUGUAGAUUCGAGUUAUCCGCAACGGAACAGAAUCCCUUGAUGUUGGCGAAUCGCAGGUGUACCGCUGUAGCCAGUGAAUCCCUUUGCUUUUUCCAAGUCAUCCGACGGGCCCAUAAUGCUUCCAGCAACGAAGUUAGAGAGGGAAAUCAUCAUAAUGAGCAACAUAAUAUUCUUCAUCUAUAAUUGUAAAAUUUGGAUCCAAGUCCGCAGAGAGUGCAAAUGAAUAACAUGGUGAGGGUGCCGAUGAUGCGAAUGUUAUUGUCACCUCCAUCUAGGAUUAUCAAUCCGCCAUAUUCCUUCAUCAUGUCCUGCACGGUUUGAGCGAAACCAACGGCGUUGAGGGAGGAAUCCAUCGCAUUGGCGAUGGUAAAGAUGACGCCGAUUGAACCUCCAAACUCAGGACCCAAAACUCUUGACCUAAUUUCAUCGGUUGUUAGAAGUAGGUUGUUUUGUUUUUCAUUAUUAUUCUUAUAAUGCCUUACAUGACAAAAUAAGUGCCGCCUGAAAUGGAUAAUAGCGUAGACAUUAUUCUUGAUUCAAAGAACGAUUUUGACUAAAUGAAUUUAUUACCUCCACCGAUCUCUCCAUUUGUUGAGAUAGCGGACAUGGACAAGGCCGUCACCAAAGUGAUGAACGUCGAAAUACCGAUGAUAACCAAAGUUUCGCCUUUGUGUUUAACAGAAUAUUUAAUAGAUUUUAAGUCCGAUUAGGUUUUAGUUUUGAAACAGCGAAAAAUAGCUCACCUAAUCCUGCUUGCCCUACUACCCACGAAAGUCGCAAGAAAAGCAUAACACCCCAAAUGCUCAUCAUAUUGCGGAUUAAAACUCCUUCGAUCCAACCGAAUUUGACGUCUUCUUUUUUAGUUUCUUUCACGGUUUCCUCAGUUAUUUUUGGCCCACUCUCAGUUGGUGUCUGACGAUCACGCGAAUUAUCGCAAAUCGAAACGUAUGAAUGUCGUAAACAAUGCCAUUUUGAACCGCAAUCAUUUAGAGAGAACAUUUACCUCCCCAAAAUCCUGAAUCAUUAUCUCUUCGUUUACUGAAGGUUGGCUAGGAAAUCCGGUAAUUAUCGAUACUAGGAAUGACAUCCCGGCUCACGUUGCGCAUCAAUUGGCGGAACGAAGCAGCAGAAGCCCUCCCCUUUUGAAUCAGAACUGAGGCUCCUA
rnacentral:lncRNA from 1 species